rnacentral:rRNA from 1 species
AGCGCAACCCUUAUCAUUAGUUGCUAACAUUUAGUUGAGCACUCUAGUGAGACUGCCGGGUUAACCGGGAGGAAGGUGGGGAUGACGUCAAAUCAUCAUGCCCCCUUAUGUCUAGGGCUACACACGUGCUACAAUGGUGGGGACAAAAGAUGCAAUACCGCAAGGUGGAGCAAAACUCAAAACCCCAUCCCAGUUCGGAUUGUAGGCUGAAACUCGCCUACAUGAAGCCGGAGUUGCUAGUAAUCGCGAAUCAGAAUGUCGCGGUGAAUACGUUCCCGGGUCUUGUACACACCGCCCGUCACACCAUGAGAGUCGGCAACACCCGAAGCCCGUGAGGUAACCUUUUGGAACCAGCGGUCGAAGGUGGGGUUGAUAAUUGGGGUGAAGUCGUAACAAGGUAGCCGUAGGAGAACCUGCGGCUGGAUCACCUCCUUU